rnacentral:rRNA from 1 species
UACGUAGGUGGCAAGCGUUGUCCGGAUUUACUGGGCGUAAAGGAUGCGUAGGCGGACAUUUAAGUCAGAUGUGAAAUACCCGAGCUUAACUUGGGUGCUGCAUUUGAAACUGGGUGUCUAGAGUGCAGGAGAGGUAAGUGAAUCCUAGUGUAGCGGUGAAAUGCGUAGAGAUUAGGAAGAACACCAGUGGCGGAAGGCGACUUACUGGACUGUAACUGACGCUGAGGCAUGAAAGCGUGGGGAGCAAACAGG